rnacentral:tRNA from 1 species
CAGAAAAUAGUUUAAUAAAAAAUAAUAACAUUGGAAGUUAUAGAUUAAAUUUACUAUUUAUUUUCUGAU